rnacentral:rRNA from 1 species
GACGGAGGGGGCUAGCGUUGUUCGGAAUUACUGGGCGUAAAGAGCGCGUAGGCGGCUUGGUAAGUUGGGAGUGAAAGCCCGGGGCUUAACCUCGGAAUAGCUUUCAAAACUGCUAGGCUAGAGUGUAGUAGGGGAUGAUGGAAUUCCUAGUGUAGAGGUGAAAUUCUUAGAUAUUAGGAGGAACACCGGUGGCGAAGGCGGUCAUCUGGGCUACAACUGACGCUGAUGCGCGAAAGCGUGGGGAGCAAACAGG